rnacentral:lncRNA from 1 species
CUCACGGUCCCUUGUGUACACUAAUCCUGUCUAACAUCUGGAUAGAACAGGAUCCGAAUUCGAUUAACUUCUGGUGCCAGAUAGGUAUCAUACAAGCUCAUAAAAUUUUGGCAAGUCAAUAACUUUAAUAUAACUUUAUUCAUGUAAACAUCAUGAAAUAGUGUGCACUUCAGAUUUUGAGUUUAGAAAGCCCACCUGAUAUGCUUAAUGAAGUAGAAAUCCUUGCUUGUUCACUUUAUAAAGCCACUCGAACCUUCAUUAUAAUGAGGUUCCCAAGGUAAGAUUGAAUAGAUAGACAAGAAAUAAAUAGAAAAGAACUCCUAGUUGAAACUUAUAUCUCUUGAAACUUUAGGGUUGCUUCCUCUAAUCUAAGUAAUCUACUUUUCUGAACUUAACUUAUUAAAAGCAUACUAACAUAUUAUCUAAAUCACAACUUAAUUUACGAUAAUUGUAACUCUGGCGUUAAUCAUAACUCCACUCGCUCUAAUUUAAUGAGUAGCUAUCAACUGGAAAUAAUAUAUAUUGUCUAAUAUAUACCAUAUGAUUUAUGUAUAAAUUAAUCUUAAUGUACUAAAAUAAUUCUACAUAUUUAGGCCAAUUUAAUAAAUCAAAUUAAUUAUUAGCUAAUAAUCCUUCAUUUAAGCUUAUUAAGCUUAAAUUAAAAUACUAUUGAGUUCAAUCAAAUAAAUUAAUGGCCCAACUUAACAAAUUAAUUCUAUCAUCUUAUGUACUACCAAAUUCCAACACAAUUUAUUAUUGCUGAUCCCAUUGAUGUUAAUAGGCCCAAAUAUUAUUUAAACCCAAUAUGAAAUUCUCAAAGCUCAAUUACUCAAAAUAAAUAAAAAACUAAAUACUAGAACUUAAGUCUAGAAUAUGCUAAAGUCAACAUCUCUCUUCUUCUUUCUUUUUCUUUUUACGCAGACUCCAUUUGUCUCUGUUCUCUCACCUGCGUCUCUCACUUUCCCUCUCCCUCUCGCCCGGCGACGUCGCCGGUCCUCCCCGCCUCCGGCGUGGCGAGGCCGGCUCCUCAUCUUCUCCUUCCUCUCUAUUCCCUAUUUCUUUCUCUAAUUCUAAAAUUCCCAAUUUCUAGGGUUUUCGGCCUCCCUUUCCCCUCUGAAAUUCGCCUCUCCGGCGAGUGCUGCCUCUGCCACCGCCGUCUCCGUCGCACCACCGCCACCUCUGUCUCAGGUAAUCUAUCUUCCUCCCUCUCUCACGAUCGAUCUCUCUCUGUCCUCUCUCUCUCUCUCUCCCUCUCGAUCUUCCCCUCUGCCCUCUUGCUUGCGGCGGCAGCGGCAGCGCAUGUAGCGCCGGCGGUCGCCGCCGCUCUGCUCUUCUCUCCCUGCCUCUAUCUCGCUCUACUUUCUCUCAUGUCCGUGUCUCUCUGUCUUUGUCUUACUCUCUGUUUCUCUCCCUCGCUCAAACUCUCUCUGCUACUGGCGGCCACCGCGGACCGCCGUGGCGCAGGCAACGCCGGCAGUCGCGCCUUUGCCGCGGUGGCUCGCGGCUGCUGCUAUCGCUUGCCUCUUCUUCCUCCUCUGUUUCUGUUUCUCUUACUUUCUUUCUUUUCUAGUUUAAUAGCUUGUUUAGCAAAUUCCUAACUAUUUCCUUAUCUCAGGAAUCGAUGAUUCAACUCCGGCGAGGCAGCCCGCCUCCUGAUCAAUGCUCAAGAUUCUAUUUUUUCUACCUUUCUUAUUGUAAAUUUAUGUUCUUUCAUUGAUUGAUUAUUGAAAAACUGAAGCUGUAAUGGUUGGGAAAUCGUACUGUGCUUAUAGAAAUUAGAGUUAGAGAUAUCUGUUUGUGCUUAACUGGUGUAGCUAUGUCUUUUUCACUGCUUUUCUUUACAUACUGAAUAUACUGUAUUGAAUAAGAAAGACUACCUUCUUUGAUGUCCGCUGGGGAGGAUGUGUGUUUGAAUGGAUGAUUGCUGCUUGUUUAAGAUUUGCAGAAUGGAAACAAAAACGGAAUUACUGAGGCUACUCAAGAUAUACUGGUUUGAGUCGGUUGAUGUGAAGCAGCUGCGUAAAAGUUACAAGCUACGCGUCCUUCUGUUAGCUAAUCUGACUUAACAACUCUAAUUAAUGUCUUAAAUCUAAUUAAAAGUUAAUUACUUUACUAAUGAUAUAAAGGAUUGGACUUGGACUUCUUUCUAUAUAAUAAAACAACUAGCCCAUAUGAUAAGCUUUGGGCUUCAGAAUUAAUUGAAUAAUUGGGCUCUUAGUAUAAAUUAAAAUCUUAGCCCAUCUCUUUUAUUAAUAUAAUUUGGGCUUCUAAAAUAGUAGCCUAAUCCAACUUGAAAUAAUAAAGGAUUUGGGCUGCUAUAGCUAUAAGUCUCCAUGUAACUCAACUCCUUCCAUAUACUAACAAAGACUGGCCCAAAUAAUAUUAAUAACAUAUAGUAUACUGUAGUGAAAAUGCCGGAUGUUACAUCCUCUCCCCCUUAAAGAAAUUUCGUCCUCGAAAUUUGACUACAUCAGAAAAUAAUUCUAGAUACUUCUCUUUCACAUCGAACUUGUGCACUCCUUAAGAAUGCGGAAUAUUAAGAAAAACGUUAUAGCCUAUUUCAAAAAUCCAAAUCAAAUCAACGAGUGUUAGCAAAAAGUUUAUGUCGCUCUUGAGGUUCCUUGAGCAGUUGUCGAAUAUAUCGGAUAAGCGUAGUCAUUUCUUCAACUGCAUCAGGUCCUAUCACUUUUCUUUCACCUACCUCACGUCAAUAGAGUGGAGAUCAACAUUUCUUUCCACAAUAAGCUCCAUAUGGUGUCAUAUCAAUUGUUGCCCGAAAACUAUUAUUAUAGGCAAAUUCAAAAGCUUUUUCCCAAAAAAAUGAAAGACCAUAAGAAAUAUGUGCUGAUAUGUCAAAAAGGGUCACGAAAACUUAGACCGCAAGAACUGAAUUGCUCAACACAACUUGGAGCUAGCAACAAUAGUAUUAUGAAACGAGAUGUAAAAUUGAUACACCUCAUAAAAAUUUAAAAUACUUAUUCGAGCAAAAAGAUCUAAGUAUGAGGCAAAAAUAUAGCUCGAAUUAAUAAGGGACUAUCAUCCACGCAAAGUCAAUAUAGUAGUGGAUGCCUUAAGUAGAAAAAUUUAAGUUAACUAAGGAUUUCUCCUUACCCAUGAAGAAAAAUUCUCAUCAAGGAUUUGAAAGUUUAAAUUACAAAUGGUUCUACCACAGCAAACCAUAGAAGCUGUAAUUCCAAUGUUAACAAUAACUCAUGAUUUGAGAAUCAAAAUUCUUACAGUAACAAGAGAAAAUGACAGGUAGAAAAAUUGUAAGGAAUAGAAGGGAUUGAUAAUUCCCAAGAAGUUCGGGGUAAAGCUAUCUUGUUUGAGAAAAGAUUAUGUAUACUCAACAAAGAAUAGUUGAGAAAUGAAAUCAUAAGUUAAGCUCAUGUAUGCUAUAUNUUCCCCUCUGCCCUCUUGCUUGCGGCGGCCGCGGCAGCGGCAGCGCAUGCAGCGCCGGCGGUCGCCGCCGCUCUGCUCUUCUCUCCCUGCCUCUAUCUCGCUCUACUUUCUCUCAUGUCCGUGUCUCUCUGUCUUUGUCUUACUCUCUGUUUCUCUCCCUCGCUCAAACUCUCUCUGCUACUGGCAGCCACCGCGGGCCGCCGUGGCGCGGGCAGCGCCGGCGGUCGCGCCUCCGCCGCGGGGGCUCGCGGCUGCUGCUAUUGCUUGCCUCUGUUUCUGUUUCUCUACUUUCUUCUUUUCAGUUUAAUAGCUUGUUUAACAAAUCCCUAACUAUUUCCCUUAUCUACAGGAAUGAAUCGAUGAUUCAACUCCGGCGAGGCAGCCGCCUCCUGAUCAAUGCUCAAGAUUCUAUUUUUUUCUAC